UUGAUGCAUAGUCCAGACUUCCUGCCAGGGUAUCUCCUGAAGGGGCUUUCUGAAAUGAGUUUCGAGGACUGUGAAAACCCUGGAACACCCUGACUAUCAAAGAGGUGGAAUAAAGCCAGCACGGAAAUUACUGAGGUUUGGGAAGAAAAGCAACAACUGCCUCUUUUCUUGGAAGUUGAAGGCUGCAUGGGGGUCCACAGUGGCUAGACCAAGACUAAAAUUAUAACUACAAACCAGGACAAGACAGCAGCAAGGCAUCGUUUUUCAAAUUAGCAUGUCUGUCUUGUUUGUUUGGUGCAAUGCCAGGGAUCAUGACCAUUUCCCAAUUUGGUUGAUGGCAUGUGCUCUCCACGCAGUGAAACUGACUUGCAAUGAAUCUCAGUGCUUCAGUGAAGAAACUGCAUGGCGAGAAAAGGGGAGAUCAAUAAGAGAAAUGCCUGGUAGUGUCUGAGGAAAUGGAGCCUCCAUGAAAAGAAAGGACCAUACACAAUGAAGAGAACCAUGAAUGCCAACGGCUCACCUCAGAGUCCCCAAGGUACUUCUGUCUGGUAAGUAUCUCAUUACUGGGGCAUCGUUUGUAAGAGCUGAGACCUGGGCCAGUAACAGCAAUUAUCAAAGUAGGCGGUCAAAUCACCCUUGGAUAUUUUAGAAGCCACACUUAAGGCUUCCUUUCUCCUCAUUCUGUUGUGGAUUUCUAAGGAGAGAGGCAGAACAUUUUAGCAACCACCCUUGUAGUGAAUUGUGUCACUUAUCUGGAGAAUCUGGUGCAUUGAAUUUAUUUGCUGUGUUGGGACACAGAACACACACACACACACACACACACACACACAUAUAUCUUAUUCUCUUCAGGACACAUUUAGGGUGUCUCCAUAUCGAUUUCCUACAAUGUAAGGGCACGAAAGCUGGGCUGUGUUAUCCAGCCACAGGGCUCACAGCGGACCAUCAUAACAAGGGGUGACAUCUGAAGCCACCAGUCACAUCCCACUCCUUUGUCCUCUCACAGCCUCUUAGAGGCCUGCCUCAGUUACUGUGUUAGCUGAGUGGAAUUGACUGUUUCAGGGAAGGAAGUGAAUUGUCAUGGGGAAAAAGGCUAGAGAGCAGGAUGCCAGCAAUGUCUCUGCUGGUAUCCUUGAAAUCCACAGAAUCUAGAGUUGCCAAAGAAAUAUUAUAGCAUGCAUUAAAAUACUAUAUGUCUUUUUUUCCUGAUGGCCAGGAAUCUCUCUUUGGUAAGAAGAUGGAGAAUGAGAUUAUACUCUCAACUAAUAUGUCAUCGAUUCCUUAUAUUUUAUCCUUCCAGUUUCACCUUUCAUAGGAAGUAGGACACAGUUUCAGGUGGGAAAGCUCCUCUCAAAUGUAAAUACAUGAAAUUUUAUUCAAGCAACAGUCAGUUCUUGGAGCCCACAGCUGAAUGAGCUCAGCCUUCUCUGACCUCCCAGCCCUGGACUAUUGAUUCUAGAGACAUGGUUUACAGUUUCUAAUUUGGGCAGUGCCAUUUAGUAGCUGAGACUAUAAGCCCAUUUCCUAACAUUUCAUAGAUAUGGUUGCACUAUACACAAAAUGGAAAAAGUAAUUAUACUUCCUCGUAGAUUUUGUCAUUAUUAAAUAAAAAUAAAAUGUAGAAACAUUUAGCACAAUAUCUGACACAUAAUGAGUGCUCAAUAAACCAAAAAAGGUUAGCUGUUGUAAGCAUUACUCUCAAGCCAAUGCCUCUCUCCACCCUCCUCUAACAUACCAAUAUUCUACUUGCCUUUACUCUCUUCCAUGGGGUUCAAAUGCCCCUAUGUUCUUACUUCUUUUCUCUCACUUUGGUUUUCUUCUAU
rnacentral:lncRNA from 1 species